UAGGGAAUCUUCGGCAAUGGACGGAAGUCUGACCGAGCAACGCCGCGUGAGUGAAGAAGGUUUUCGGAUCGUAAAGCUCUGUUGUAAGAGAAGAACGAGUGUGAGAGUGGAAAGUUCACACUGUGACGGUAUCUUACCAGAAAGGGACGGCUAACUACGUGCCAGCAGCCGCGGUAAUACGUAGGUCCCGAGCGUUGUCCGGAUUUAUUGGGCGUAAAGCGAGCGCAGGCGGUUAGAUAAGUCUGAAGUUAAAGGCUGCGGCUUAACCAUAGUACGCUUUGGAAACUGUUUAACUUGAGUGCAAGAGGGGAGAGUGGAAUUCCAUGUGUAGCGGUGAAAUGCGUAGAUAUAUGGAGGAACACCGGUGGCGAAAGCGGCUCUCUGGCUUGUAACUGACGCUGAGGCUCGAAAGCGUGGGGAGCAAACAGGAUUAGAUACCCUGGUAGUCCACGCCGUAAACGAUGAGUGCUAGGUGUUAGACCCUUUCCGGGGUUUAGUGCCGUAGCUAACGCAUUAAGCACUCCGCCUGGGGAGUACGACCGCAAGGUUG
rnacentral:rRNA from 1 species